rnacentral:misc_RNA from 1 species
GUAAUGCUAUCGCAGAUUUUCUGAAAAUUACACCAUACGCUCAAUAUGUUAUCGGAGAUUUUCUGAAAAUUACACCAUACUUAUAAUAUAAGGUAGCGCAUUUUCAUACGCGUUUCAUUUGUGGAGUAAAUAACAUACCAAACAAAGAUGUCAAGUCAGCAAAGUGGUGGCGGUUACACGGGUACUGGAACAAAGGCGGACCUUGAUAACCAUGGGAACCAGUGCAACCCGAACAACCCCAACCAUCAAGGGUACAGCUCUGCGUAUAGUGGUACCGGGACAAAGGCUGACCUCGGCAACCACUCAAACCAGAUGAACCCGAACAACCCAAGCUACCAGGCGCCGAAAAAAUGACGUGUCGCUCUGUGAAGCAAAACACAAAAUAACUUUUAAAAAAUGCAGAAUAUAUUUUGUGUUAUGAAUAUGAUUGUACAAAAAUAUGUAUAAUAAAUAGUUAUAAAUGUUGA